UUUAAGCAUAUCACUCAGUGGAGGAAGCCCAAGCAACCGCGAUUGCUGCAGUAACGGCGAGUGAACGGGCAUCGUGUGGUGUGACCAUGCAACCAUGGCCCAGCCCGAAGGAGAUCCUUCCCAUUCAUCCAUCAUCGUUCAACCACCAGAGGUUGUGUUGUUGACAGGCUGCUCUGUUGUGUGUCUGUGAUGAGCGGCGGGAGCAUUUCACAUCACCGCUACCUCCACCCGAAGGAGACGCCACCAACCCUGCAUGUGGUGUCCAUGUGGUGCAGUCGGCUACUGUGGGUUUCACCAGAUGCUGUGGGCUGAGGAGCAGGCAGGCAUCCAACUGGUCGGUCCAGUGUGGCCCGGAAGCGUUCUGGAAGGAGCCACGACACAGGGAUACUGUCCCGUACACUGCCAUCGUGCCACAUGGCCGGCCAGUGGUGUGUCCUGCCUGCAUCCACGAGUAGAGCGGCUUGGGACUGCAGUUUGAAGCGUGAGGUGUAUCCCUCACAAGGUGGAAUACCGACAUGGGACCGAUAGCGCACAAGUAGAGUGAUUGAAGGAUGCAAAGGACUUUGCAAAGAGGGUUAAAAGUCCCUGAAGCCUCGGCAGGAACGGCGGUGAGUGGUGCCAUGCUGACUCGCAUGGCGUCCAUGGUGUGCUGAAGCCCACACUGCGUGUGGUGGAUGUGGUCAUCGAUUGCGGUGCUGUGGAACGGAGCAUCAUCAUCCAGCAUCAUCAUCGUCGUCUGCUGAGAACACACACCCCAUCAGCACGUGGGCUGCUUGGGGGACGGUGGCGAGAAGAAUCAUGGUUGCUGUGUGGUGCUGGUGUGUGCCCGUUGCCCCUGCCCAACAACGGUGGACCCUCUGCUGUCGUGUGGUGCCUCUGGCCGCUGAUGACGCCAUCAGCCCGAGUCUCUUCCCAAGCGACCUUGGGCCAGCCCGAUGCCGGCCACUGAGCCCACCUCCCCAGAUGACGCAGGAGUGGAUCGCAGUCGUGGUGGUGUGUCCUCUAUGCGGUGGCAAGACCGCCUGUGCCUGGGCCCGAGGCCUGGAGAGAGAUCUCUCGUUGACUCAUGGGGUGGAGAAGGAACAUGGAGCACACACGUUGUGCGUUGUGAUGAUGAGACGACUACUGGAGCCAACAAACAGUGCUUUGAUGAUUGUGGCCGGUGAUUGAUGCUCUUCUGUCCUCCAUAUCGAUCGAAUUGCCCACUGCUGUGGGUGGUUGUUGUUGCCUCCUCUCGCUGUGCUUGGAACUGUGGUGGACCCACACAGUCCGACGGUGAUGUUGAUGCCCACGACUACUGCCACUGGCCUGUCUUCGGGCAGGCCAGCCGCUGGUGCCCAACCAUGGUGUUUCCCUGCAUCUUGGGACGGGGUCUGGUGGCGUGCCCCCAGCCUAACACUGCUCUGCCAGUGGCUGUGACACGUCCGCCUGCCCCCCAGACGGUGCCCAGCGUUCAGACGGCCUAGAGCUUGGUGUGGUUCCGGUGGUGCCACUCUCUGCCCGUCUCGAAACACGGACCAAGGAGUCUAUGGAGCUUGCCAGUUGGCUGGUGUGAUCAUGGAAAACCGACCAAGAAGGCGUGGUGAAGGCAAUGCAUUCCAUUGCAGCCUGGACGGUGUGGUGCGGCUGCUGGGGCCCUCUCCACGACAGCAGCGGCGAAGCCUGCCACGGCACACCACCACCAUGUGUGGUGGGGCAGAGAGCGACAUCAUCAUCAGGCGAUGUGGAGAGGAAGCCAUCGGCGUCCACCAAUCAAUCAUCAUCCCAUUCAUCGCUGGCCUCUCGUUGUGGGUGUGUGGCGGUGCCGUUGCCCUUGUUGUCGCUGCCUGGGCCCCAGCAGCAGGCUCCUCCUCUCUGCACAGGGCACCGGUCCCACAGUCCAGUGGACAGGGUUUUGAGUGAUUGCAAGGUCCAUGGGACCCGAAAGGUGGUGAACUAUACCGUACCACGACGAAGCCGUGGGAAACCGCGGUGGAGGUCGGUCGCUGUUCUGACGUGCAAAUUGUGUAGCCUGAGUGCGGCACAGGGGUGAAAGGCCAAUCGAGCCAUCUAGUAGCUGGUUUCCCUCGAAGUUUCCCUCAGGAUAGCA
rnacentral:rRNA from 1 species